CACGCUUCGCGCAACUGGCGAUCAGGGCGCCCUUCCUCGUGAUCCGCACGGGGCUGGCGUCGCCCGAGGUGGGUCACCACCGGGAAGCGCGAGCGGCCGGAGACGUUCUCCGGUUGUCCGUGCCGUUCGCCUGGGCCGCCGUC
rnacentral:ncRNA from 1 species